GUAAUAGGUAAGUGACAGGUACUCUUUAUGGAGAGGUCUGAGGUCUAUAAGACCCCAAAUCUCUCCUCUGCGCUUAAAAGCAUUCAAUCACGCCAAGAUCUGUGUUUUUAAAGGCUUUUGAUUUUUUGAAAAUGGCGCAGUUGACAACCAAGUAAAUCGGAAGUGAUGUCAGGUCAUCGCUUCCGGGCUUACCAUAGCCAAGAUCCAAUCAAAGCUGAUCCAGGCUUUGUUCAGCUCUCCCCAUCAGCCGGCGGAUGUGCCGGCUGGUCGCUUGGGUCUCCUGGUGGGACGGGAGAGCGGAAGAAAGCAACGGAAAGUGUAGGAGAAGGGGGGACAACACCUCCUGUUGCUUGUAAAAGCAAUCCAGUGGCUACUUAGCCGCUAGGAUUGCUUUUUUCAAGAGAGUCGACCGUCGACUAAAAAAACAGUACUGGGGUGAUGCCUGCAGCUGCAUAUAAUUCCAGUGUAACCCCCGAACUCCACCGACGUACCUCGGCAAGUGGAUAAUAUUCAUAUUUGGACAUGCCACCGUUGUCCUCUCCAAAUGACUUUGUUGACUCAUUUGAGGAGGACAAGAGACACCUGACAAACGUGAGGAGAAGAUGCGAGUAGGACAAAGGAGGUAUGUCCUAAAAUGCCCACUUUGUUUGAGUUUGGCGUCUGUGUAGAGCAGGAUUUACGGUGUGUUCGGCUCCUCUCAGCUCCUCUAGGCUCCUCUCGCGUGGCUGCGGGCGGAGCCGAGCGUGGCCGAGUGCGCAGUACACUCGGCACGGUCUUUGUCGGUGGCGCUCAGAGACAGUGGGGAUCGGCGUAUAAUGCGCACCCACGAUUUCCCCCUGAUUUUAAGGGGAAAAAAGUGCGCGUUAUACGCCGAUAAAUAUGGUAAUUGUCUUGUUAUAUUCUUGGCGCAGCAAUUCCUUUCUACUUUGUUAGUUCGGUGAUAGGAACAAAGUAUAGGAUUUUGGGCAUGAGUAGAUGUUGGUGGAAUGCAUUACUCACUGGCCCCUUGAACCACUUGGGUAGGGUAAUAAGAAAAAAAAAAGAGUCAAUGAGGUCCUGCUGGAUGUAGAACCUCAGAAUCAAAUCUCCCUUCCAGAGAUCCUGAGGGAUCUAAGGAGUCGGGUUCCACUUUGUAACGUCUUCUAAAACCGAAAGAACUGAUUUUUUUUAGCUUGGUCUGUCUUUUAACGUUGUUUUGACAUGCCGGGAGGGGAUUUUAGCAGCUGUUUGGACGGCCAGUGAAUGUCCAGUACCACCCCGGGCCUCAAAAGAGGAAAAUAUUUGUCAGUAAAUCCGCAGUGGGGAGGAGGAGGAGAGCUGAGCUAGUGUAGGGUCACGGAAUGUUCAGAAGAGGAUAUGGAAAAUGGAUUGUGUGGGAUUGCGGUUGGCCGGUCUGGGCUGGCCUACAUUUAACCCUUUGAUGGUGUGGUGUAUGGCAAGCUCGUAGUCGCGUGGAGCGUUAGACCGGAUGUUUUUUUGGAUAAGUAGGUUUGUCUAUUUGUACGUGAGAUGUAGAAGAAAAUUAGAAGGAUCUUUGUUUUGGUGGAAUAUAUGGAAAGGGAUUUUCUGUUGUUGGAUUUAUUUCCUGUAUAUCUACAAACUUGAAAAAAAAUAAGGUAAAUUGAUAGUCUAUUACUUGUGUGCGCACCUUAUCAUCUGAUGUAACCUACAGUUUACAGGUCAGAAUGGUUUUGAUGUUUUUGGUACAGGGUGAUGCAGGACAAUAUUGAGGGUAACUGGUUCUGUGCCAUAGAGUUAAAUAUUGAUUGAGGCCCAGGGGGUAAAUUAAAUCAGACCUACAGUCAAUGCCGAAGCCUAUGUAGUUUGACCACACCUUCUGCCUUGUCACUGUAUGCAGUAAAAGUUGUUAUGGGCUCACCUGUACUGAAGAAAUUAUUCCUCUAAGAUUUCUUUUGGGGGUAUGUGGGUACCAAGACAUUAGCCAUGUGGUUUCUACCAAAGGGCUUGGUGUGUGGCCUUCAGGCAAAGCCAGCCAAACCAAGUGGUUUCCACCAAAAAGGCCUAUUGUGUGGCCUUCAGGCUAAGCCAACCAAGCCAUGGGUUUCCACCAAAAAGGCUUAUUGUGUGGCCUUCAGGCUAAGCCAAGCCAUGAGUUUCCACCAAAAGGGCAUAUUGUGUGGCCUUCAGGCUAAGCCAAGCCAUGAGUUUCCACCAAAAGGGCAUAUUGUGUUGCCUUCAGGCAAAGCUAGCCAAGCCAUGUAGUUUUCACCAAAAGGGCUUAUUAUGUGGCCUUCAGGUAAAGCCUGACAAGUCAUAUGGGUUUCAACAAAAGGGCUUAUUGUGUAGCCUUCAGGCAAAGGCAGCGGAGCCAUGUGGUUUCCACCACAAGGGCAUAUUGUGUUGCCUUCAGGCAAAGCUAGCCAAGCCAUGUGGUUUCCACCAAAAUGGCUUGGUGUGUGGCCUUCAGGCAAAGCCAGCCAAACCAUGUGGUUUCCACCAAAAGGGCUUAUUGUGUGUCCUUCAGGCAAAGCCUGACAAGUCAUAUGAUUUUCACCAAAGAGCUUAGAGUGUGGGCUUCAGGCAAAGCAAGCCAUACCAUGUGGUUUCCAUCAAAAGGGCUUGGUGUGUGGCCUUCAGGCAAAGCCAGCCAAGCCAAGUGGUUUCCACCAAAAUGGCUUAUUGUGUGGCCUUCAGGUAAAGCCUGACAAGUCAUAUGGUUUUCACCAAAAGGGCUUAUUGUGUAGCCUUCAGGCAAAGCCAGCCAAGCCAUGUGGUUUCCACCACAAGGGCUUAUUGAGUGCCCUUCAGGCAAAGUCUGACAAGUCAUAUGGUUUUCACCAAAAGGGCUUAGAGUGUGGCCUUCAGACAAAGCAAGUCAAGCCAUGUGAUUUCCACCAAAAUGGCUUGGUGUGUGGCCUUCAUGCAAAUUAAGCCAAGCCAUAUGGUUUCCACUAAAGGGGUUUGUCGUGUGGCCUCCAGGCAAAGACAGCAAAUCAGUGGCAGUCAUGUCACCAGUAGAAUCUGUUGUUCUGUAGGAGUUGUUAUUCCAAGCUCGAGCUUGCUCUGGAAGUAGAUUGGCGCUGGCUGGGGAAUUAACCACAUAGUUCCUGCUAAAAGGGCUUGUCGUGUGGCCUUCAGGCAAAGCCAGCAAAACCAUGUGGUUUCUACUAAAAGGGCUUAUUGUGUGGCCUUCAGGUAAAGUCAGCUAAGCCAUGUGGUUUCCCCCAAAAUGGCUUGGUGUGUGGCCUUCAUGCAAAGCCAGACAAGCCAUAUGGUUUCCACUAAAAUGGCUUGUCGUGUGGCCUUCAGGCAAAGCCAGCCAAACCAUGUGGUUUCCACUAAAAGGGCUUAUUGUGUUGCCUUCAGGCAAAGCUAGCCAAUCACCAGAAGGUUAAGUCACCAGUAGAAUCUGUUCUUCUGUAGAAGUUGCUAAUCCAGGCAAAGCCAGCCAAGCCAUGAGGUUUCCACCAAAAGGGAUUAUUGUGUGGCCUUCAGGUAAAGCCAUCCAAGCCAUGAGGUUGCCACCAAAAGGUCUUUUUGUGUGGCCUUCAGGUAAAGCCAGCCAAGCCAUGAGGUUGCCACCAAAAGGGAUUAUUGUGUGGCCUUCAGGUAAAGCCAGCCAAGCCAUGAGGUUGCCACCAAAAGGGAUUAUUGUGUGGCCUUCAGGUAAAGCCAGCCAAGCCAUGAGGUUGCCACCAAAAGGGUUUUAUUGUGAGGCCUUCAGGCAAAGCUAGCCAAUCAGCAGAGGUUGGGUCACCAGUAGAAUCUGUUUUUCUGUAGAAGUUGCUAAUCCAAGCUCGAGCUUGCUCUGGAAGUAGAUGGGCGCUGGCUGGGGAUGGGGAAUUAGCCACAUAGUUCCUGCUAAAAGGGCUUGAGCCGUGGCUUUUAGGCAAAGCCAUUUGAUCAGUGGUGGUCAUGUGGCCAAUGUCUCCAAUGUCCAGCCCAUAAGUCAUGUCUUUGCUAUAGCUGUUUGAGGUUUGAUGUUCAAACCCAACCAGCAGCCCUGCCUUCCCCUUCUUUGGAAAUCAUCUACAUUACCGAGAACUGCAACAUCAAAAUGGGUAAACAUCUAACACAUGGUUUUACUAUAUCUAUGGCAACAGGACGGCAGGAAGAGGAAGCAAACCAGGCUCACAUAUUUCCCCAUCGUACUUGUGCUAAAAUGCAAUCACUCGAUCGUUCUCAUUUUGUUCCAAGUGCUGAAAAAUAUUACGGAAGAAGAAGGUCUUGUGGCCGAACACUGAGCAAAAAGAGGACCUGUUUUGUGUCUUUGAUUUCGAAAUUUGUUUCCAUGGUCAAAUAUCUCUAACUCUCUCUUUCGCAAUAGGUAUUGCUUUGUUUUUUUUGUUUUUUUGUGGUUUUAAGUAACCCGAAAGAGGAAAAGUCCUUUAAAAAAAAUGUUGCAAUCUGCUUGGCACAAAAAGCAAGCCUAUAAAAUCAGAACUGAUGUUUUGCAAGAACCUAGUGUGGGUGGAUAGACAGAUGGGGGGUGACUCAGUCCAUGCAAUAAUAAAAUAGCAAUAACGCCUAACAAGAACCAGCUACCCAAUCUGUCUUAUUUAUAACACCCAAACCAGCCUUUUCAGAACUAUAACUCCCACCAUGAGCCUUGUAGUUCCAUGUGCUUGGGGUUUGUUGCAUCUGGCGCCAUCUUGUGGCCAAAACUAGGAACUGCACUUACUUACUGCACGCUACCAGUUACAUUUGUCGCCAUCUUGUGGUCAAAAUGUAUAACGACUGCGAUCAGUGGUCUGUUGGUGCCAUCUUGUGGUAAAAAUAAGGUACUGUCAUUUCUUGCUUCCCAACAUUGGCGCGUACUGGACUAUAUAGCAAUAAAAAAAAAAUAUGACUGCACACUUCCAUUGCUCCAUAAGCAUAAGACAUUAUUAUAUUACUACGAUGAUGACGCUAACUGCUGCGGAACAUCACGUGGUUGUACACGGCACUGCUCUGUCCUGAAAAUCCUCAGUUUUCCUACAUAGUUUAAAAAAAUGCUGCUCUUAUAUUAUUAUCAACGAGAUAAAAAAAAUACCUAACCCCGUUAUCUGCAGGUAAUAAUAGAUAUUUCUGUGCGAAUAGAAGAUAUUAUAAGCUAAAUGCCUCUUUUUUUUUUAGAACCUGUUUUUAUUCUCGAUCGUCCAUAUCGCGAUUAUGUGCCUUCACCAUACUGAGCUUCGUUGAAUGUAUUAUUUUUGUUUUUUAAGUACUAACUGCAAAAAAAGAGAUUUUAUUUUUUUCCGUCAGCCAUGAUGUAAUUUUUAUAUUAACUGUACUAACAGUUUGAUUUUUUUUUUUAAUGUAAGCUGUUUUUGUAUGA